rnacentral:rRNA from 1 species
GCUAGCGUUGCUCGGAAUUACUGGGCGUAAAGGGCGCGCAGGCGGCCUUGGAAGUCAGAUGUGAAAGCCCCGGGCUCAACCUGGGAAUGGCAUUUGAUACUCUGAGGCUGGAGUACGGGAGAGGAGAGUGGAAUUCCCAGUGUAGAGGUGAAAUUCGUAGAUAUUGGGAAGAACACCGGUGGCGAAGGCGGCUCUCUGGACCGUAACUGACGCUGAGGCGCGAAAGCGUGGGGAGCAAACAGG